rnacentral:misc_RNA from 1 species
GAUGAAGAACGCAGCAAAAUGCGAUACUUGGUGUGAAUUGCAGAAUCCCGUGAACCAUCGAGUUUUUGAACGCAAGUUGCGCCCGAAGCCUUUUGGCCGAGGGCACGUCUGCCUGGGCGUCACGCUUCGCGUCGCCCCCCACAAUUCUCCGUAAAGGGAACAUGUGUUUUGGGGGCGGAUAUUGGUCUCCCGUGCUCAUGGCGUGGUUGGCCGAAAUAGGAGUCCUUUCGAUGGACGCACGAACUAGUGGUGGUCGUAAAAACCCUCGUCUUUUGUUUCGUGCUGUUGCUCGCAAGGUAAACUCUUUAAAAACCCCAAUGUGUCGUCUCUUGACGACGCUUCGACCGCGACCCCAGGUCAGGCGGGACUACCCGCUGAGUUUAAGCAUAUCAAUAAGCGGAGGA